GGGCGCCGCAACCGGCAGCCCCGCGGGCCAAUGGCGCCCGUACGCUCCUGCUAACAAAGAAACCCGUCGGCCAAUGGAUGGCGGGGGCGGGACCGGGAGCCGCGGGCGCAAGGGUGUGGCUCUGUGGUAGAAACCAGCCUGUGAGAGGCCCUGCAGAGGAAGAAAAGCAAGAAAAGUCAGUACAACCACAGAGAGGAAGCUCAGGCCAGACACCAAAGGGCACCAUUAAUACAUGGACGAGAGCUUCAAGGGAGAGGAAUGUCUGGGACUCCAUGCCAGCCACCAUGGCCACUUUGGGGAUUUGGGAUGAUGGGUGUGUUCUAUCUCCAUCGCAUGCCUGACCAAAAGCAACUUCCUAGAAGGAAGAGUUCAUCGGUGCUUACGGUUCCAGAAAGACAAGGUCUAUCGUGGCGGAAACACGGCAGCAAGUGACAGGCACAGUGGCGGGAGCGAGAAGCUAAGAGCUCACCUCUCCACCACGAGUAUAAAGCAGAGAAUGUGAACUGGAAAUUGCUCAAGGCUUUUCAUCUCAAAGCCCACCUCCAGCGACACACUUCCUCCAGCAAGGCUGCACCACAGAAGCCUUCCCAGACAGCGCCACCUACUGGAGACAAAAAAUUAAUACACAUGCCUUUUGAUCGGGAAAAAAGCAUUUAUCCCACAAGGACACUUUGCAUAUUGCCUGUGACAAGCUAGUAUAUGGAUAUUUAUUACAGAAUGAUUUUCUUGUAGUAGCGAGAAAAUUGGUGGAAACAAACCCCCACCAAUAGAGGUGGGUAAUAUUCACGGUAAUGUAUCCAGUAAUGAACGCUGCAUAAAAGCCAAAUAGAAAGAGGAAGGUUUAUAAUCUGGGGCCUGAAAUAGCCUAGAUGUACUAUUAAGUGGAAAGGACAGAAGACUAACUACAUGUGCUCGUUGCUUAAAGCCUCAGUGUCUUGUCUUUUUGUUGGGACUAUUCCCAUCUGUCUUGUGGCUACUGUCCUUGCUGGGUACAUUCUGAGUCCUUAUGCCACUCCCUGUGUGCUUCUGGCCUAAAUAUGCGCUUGCUUCCACCGUGCACACCAGUGACUCUCUCCAGGAUGGUCACUGUCCUCCCAGGCUCCCUUGAUUCUACUACCUGCAGGGCUGGGCAGGGCCACCAUCCCCAGACAGACCCUUGCUUGAUGACAGGCCAGGAGAAGAGGAUGGAAACCCAGUAGCUCAGGCUGGGGUGUCGCCGUGGGACUUGCCCUCUAGGGCCACCCCAGGGAGCAAUGGAGCCCUGUUCUGCAGGACUGUGUCUUGUGUGGCCCCUCUCCCACUGGAUCUCCAUUCUCUUGCCUGUUUCCUUGGGCACAUAUCCUAAAGGAGUUGCUGCCUCACAAAUUCUGUUAUAAUUUCAAGAGAGAUCCAGUGUCUGCUUUCCGCAGCAUAGAGUCCAACAAACUCUUGGCCCAAUUAGUUCCAUGGAAGAAAGCAAGAGCCCCUCUCUAAAUACAAAUUCAGAGAAGAGGAGGAAAGAAAAUCAGCUAUGUCCUCUCCCAUCCCCAUUGCUCCAACCUGCAAGCAGGUUCUGAGUGCAGGCGUAAGGCAGGGCAGGGCGUAGUCAGUCUUACCAAUUGGGUGAGGGAACAGAGGCUCAGUGAGGAUCAGUUAGAAGUGGUGGAUGAUGAGGGCUGGAGAGAUGGCUCAGUAGUUAAGAGCACUGGCUGCUCUUCCAGAAAACCAGGGUUCAAUUCCCAGCACCCACAUGGCAGCUCAUAACUGCUUGUAACCAGUUUCAGGGGAUCUGACACCUCCACACAGACAUACAUGCAGGCAAAAUGCAAAUGCACAUGAAAAAAAUAAGUGGUGGAUGAUUCCAUUACCAGAGAGACCAGCUCCGUGUCAAACUCAUACUCACGCUCCAAGAACGAGGAACAAGGGAAUCUUCAGAGCAGGCUAAGGAAGGGAAGAUCGUUGACUUUUCUAAAAGAUUCUCCUUUGCAACCAUCUCUUCACAAGCACACAUCCCACUUUUGGAUGACUCCUGGGACCAGAAGUGGGCUCAGAGGAAAGCUGAGCCUCGGGAGCAGCAGCGCCCUGGGGGAAUGGGAAGGGACCUGCUUCUGGCUUUGCUUCUAUGCUGCUUUGGGAACGCCCACUUGGCUCAGCCUCCUCAGCUGCUGGGUUCUUCAUCGGGGUUAGAACUGUGGAUGGCUGGGGGGCACAGGUACGGAUCAUAGGAAAGACAGACUGCCUUUCAAUCCUGUUCUCUUCCACUUGCUGUAUGACCCCCCCCUCCCCAUUCCUAGCCCAGCAUUUGUGUCCUGGUGUCCAGCUGAUGAAAGAAAAGAAGAAAGAGUCUGUGAAGCCAGUCCCAGCUGAGGUCACUACCUGGAAACAACCCAUCUGUGAAAGGAAGAGCCUGAAGACCGAGGAAGUGUGGCCUUCCCAGCCUACCACACACCAGCUCUGGUACACCUCCACAAAGCCUGGAACCUCCUACAACAGGGAAACCUUCUGUAUUCUUGUCUGUGGAAACUAGUUUUCAACACUCUAGGAUGUAAUGCUUUCCCCCAGACCCAGGGCCAUCCACAGGGCCACCAAGAGGAUCCCUGCCUCUCUCCACAGGGCAGGUCACUUGGGCAGCCAUAGAGCCCCUGAAUUCCUGAACAUACCACAGAAAUCGGAAACAAAGUGGCUUACGUUCCUCAUAGAAGUUUUAGAAACACAGAAAAAUACACAGGGAGAUAGCCCGUCACUUAGAAAUACUCACCUUCUCCCCAACAUUUUAGAACAAAUUUCAAAUAUAGAGAACAGUUGAAGGAAUUGUACCAAGAAUUCCCAUUACAUCAUCUAGAUCCCGGAAGACUCUCGUUCUCCCUCUGUGGCCCCCAGCUUUGUCCAUCUCCGCAGGACUCUGCUCACCGUUGACUUGUUUUUCUCCUGUGCCCAUGGCUUGAUGCACAUGAAGCACAGUGACGAAAGAGUGCUUGGUACUCUGUCUCCUUACACACACGUCGGUUCCCUGUGUUGGGAGCCUGUGAACUCUCCAAUUAAAAAAAAAAGGUUUAUUUAUUUCUUACCUAUUUUAUGUGUAUGUGCUGUACAAUAUUAUUUUAAGGUGUGUUACUCUUGUUUAUGUUGCAUUUGUUUAACUCUGUGAAGCUGUGUUACUCUGCCUGUCUAAAACAUCUGAUGGUCUAAUAAAAAACUGAACAACCAAUGGCAAGGCAGGAGAAAGGAUAGGCGGGGCUGGCAGGCAGAGAGAAUAUACAGGAGAAAUCUUGGAGGAAAAGAAGAAGUAGCCAGAGAAGGAGGAGGACCCAGGGGCCAGCCAGCCAGCUACACAGCAAGCCAUGGAGUAAGAGUAAGAUUUACAGAAGUAAGAAAAUGUGAAAAGCCCAGAGGUAAACGAUAGAUGGGGCUAAUUUAAAGUUAAGGAAAGCUGGCAAGAAACAAGCUGAGCUAAGGCCAGGCAUUUAUAAAUAAGAAUAAGCCUCCAUGUGUGAUUUAUUUGGGAGCUGGGUGAUGGGCCCCCCAAAAGAGCAAAAACAAACAACAACAUGUAUGUACCUGAGUAUAUAUACAUGCAGAAGCCUGUGGAAGCCAUUGACUCUCUUGAAGUUACAGGUAGUUUAGCUAUGAACUGUCCCAUGUGGUGCUGGAAACUGAACCCAAGUCCUCUGCAAGAGCAAAUGCUCUUAACCACUGAGCCACCUCUCCAGCCCCAUUCUCUUCUCUUUUUUGAAAUACGUGAUAAAUCGUGAAUAGUUUCCUGGUUAAGGGUGGGACUUUGGGGCCACCUUCCCUUCUCAGUGCUGGGAUUUUGAGUGGUUUGAACUUGGGUAGGAUUUGUGCAUGCUGUCACAGUGUCUGGGAGUUAAUGUGUGUCAGUCCUGUUGUGUCUGGAUGAUGUUUCCUCGGAGUCCUCAUCAUCUCUGUCUCUUACAAUCUUUCUGUCGCCUCUUCCUCAUAGACCUGUAAGCCUUGAAUGGAGGGGUUUGGAGGGAAAAUCGGUUUCCUUUAAUGCAGUAUCACUAGGUAUAUGGACCACACUCCAGGGCAGGCCCCAUGCCCAGAAGGCUUUGCUAACACAAAGCUGACUAUGUUUUUGUAUUGUGUGCUUUUUGUUUUGUUUUGUACUUUUUUUGGUUGUUGUUUGUUUUGUUUUGACCUUUGGGAAGGUGUUUUUGUUUUUAUUUUGAGAGAGAAAAAGAACAUGAAGUUGGGAGGGUAGGGAGCUGGGAAGGAUCUGACAGGAGUUGAGGGGAGGGGAAUAAUGUGAUGAAAAUACAUUGUAUGUAACUUUUUAAAUAAGAAAAGAAAAAAGCAUAAUAAAUGGUGAACUGCAAUCACCUUUCUAUGCUGCAGAGUACUGGAUCUUACCCCUCCUGAGCAACUGUGCCUUGGCCUCUUUCUCUCUCUACCUGAGCAACUGGUACCCAGCCCCUUCCCUCUCUACCCUCCAUUGUAUCAUUUCCACAAAUUUCAGAAUAGAUUAAGACCAUCAACGUGUAUUUCUCCAAGUACUUCAACAUGAAUUUUUACUAAUUAGAGGGAAACAAUAUCUUUAAAAUCUUUUAUGAUGUAGAAGUUCAGAUGCACAAAUUGAAGAGACUGAGACAAUAAUGAACACCUUGGUUUAGGGUUAGGGUUAGAUGAACCCGU